GCGAUGGGCGUGCACAACGACUACACUCUCGAGUCC
rnacentral:ribozyme from 1 species